AUAUACCUUAUUGACUAAAUUGAAUAAUAAUCAGAAGUGGUUUACCAUUCUGGACUUAAAGGAUGCAUUUUUCUGUCUGCCCCUGGCCAAAGAAAAUCAAAAUUUAUUGGCUUUCGAAUGGGAAAACCCAGAAACAGGAAGGAGGACCCAGGUCACUUGGACAAUGUUACCUCGGGGAUUUAAGAACAGUCUGACCUUUUCCGGAAAUCAAUUGGCAGGAGAAUUGGAAUCCUGGGAAGCACCCCCCCAGACAGGCACUUUACUACAAUAUGUUGACGACCUAUUAAUUGCUACUGAAACUGAGAAAGAAUGUGUUCAAUGGACUGUAGAAUUGUUAAACUUCUAGGACUAAAUGGAUACUGGGUAUCUAAAUUGAAGGCUCAAAUAAUUCGAACUCGAGUAUCUUAUUUAGAAUAUGAAAUAACAGGAGGACAACAGAAUUUGGAGCAGCUCGGAAGGAAGCAAUCUGUCAAACACCACGACUAUCCACGGUUAAAGAUCUCCACAGACAUUUUUGGGAAUAACAGGGUGGUGUCGACUCUGGAUCCAUGAUUAUGGUGUUCUGAGACAGUAUACUCGAGCCGACCAGACCUGAAGGAGGAACCUCUGGAGGGUGCAGAUUCGUGGUUUACUGAUGGCAGCAGCUUUGUUAACGACAGUAAACAACAAGCAGGAUACAUCAUAACUACAACUUCAAAGGUAAUCCUCUUAAGGAGAAGCAGAGUAGACCAUAUCAGGUGCUGUUGAUCACCUUCACUGCAAUCAAGAUAAAAGAGCAACCUGCUUGGAUACAUUACUAAGAAUUAAGAAGGAGCCAGAACCAGAAAAACACCAGAACUGAGAAAAAGUAUGGCACAUUGAGUGUUCAGGACCCACACAUGAGAGUACAUCUAUCAUAAUUUGGACUUGUAUAAUAAUAGGUGUAGAAGCAUGGAAUCAAAAUCUGUAUCUGAGAUUGAUACAAAAUGUUACCAGUGUCUUAAACAAGAGUGAUUGUUAGAUCUGUACUCAGCUACCUAAAUCAGGAGAGAGACCAGGUAUUCCUUUAAUUGGCUUCCCUAUCCCCUUUAAGACAAACUGGAAUAGAUUGUGGCAAGAUCCUGUUUAUACCAACAAGAGCCAUACAAAUUUAUAGGUUUUAAGGAUUCAAGCCUUGAAUAUGUCAGAAGUUAAAUGUGACCACAAGGCAACAUGUCAGUAGAAAUUACCCAUAUUACAGCUGGGCAGUGCAACUUCAUCUUUGAAAACCUUUAACUGGUUAUUGGAAUGUUCCUGAAGGAAAAGGGUGGUAUUAGUUAUGUGGAGAAAAUGCCUAAAAGGCUUUGCCUCCUAACUGGAAAGGAACAUGCACACUAGGAGUAGUGAUUCCCGACUUUAGAGUAAUUGACAUUCAUCCCUCUGGAACCUGGGUUUGUAGUUUUAAUAAAUAAAUCAAACGAGGAUAUAAUCCCAUAGCAGAGCAAAACACUGCUUUUUUUUUUUGUUGUUGUUAGAUAGCUUAUUCCAUCUGUAGGUUUUAGUGAAUUAGAGAAAGUGAUUGUAAAUAGCAGCAAUUGAGGAAAUGGAAAAUUGAAAUGCUUAUGCUAUUCUAGCAUUACAAGAAGAAAUAACCAGCCUGUCUAAAGUAGCACUCCAAAAUCGAGUGGCAUUAAGUACACUGUUAGCAUCUCAAGGAGGAGUUUGUUCUGUAAUCAAUGAAAAUAUUUUGUAAGGUGACGCAGGAUGACACCUCGUGGUGAUUUGAGGAAAUUUGGGAAAAAUUAACAUCAUGGGUACCCAGUCUCUCCUGGUUGAGAGAGUUAUUUUUAACUGUAUUAGUAAUAAUAGGAAUGGGUUUGAUUACAGAUAUAAUGGUCGUGUGUUCCUUUUGGUGUUGCAAAUAAUCAGUAAUGAACCAAGAGAACAGUUAAACAUCAGAUAGAAACUGGAGAAUAUUUUAGAAAAACUCUAGAACGGAAUGAUUUAAGAAACUUUUGCAAAAGAAUUUGCAAAGGAAUAGAAAAAAGGGGUAUUGAAAUAGAGAAAUAUAGGCUGAAAUAUAAUCUAUUAUAAGUAAGUAAAUUAGUUCUGCUUAGUGAUCAUCCUUGUAUAAGACAAAUGACCGUAGUUGACAUAGUUCUGGGAUGUUGUAACCUUGUAAGAAAUUUAUGGUAAGCAAAACAGAACAUGUAGAUAAUCUGAAACUAGCAGAUGUUCAGGAUGAGUUGUAUCUGAGUUAAUUGAUAAGUAGAAGGACAUGGAGAAAUCAUUCAAUUAUGUAGUGGUGUUAUUAAACUAAUUAAGCUGGCAUAAGCAUUUAUCUACUGUGCGUGCUUCAAAGGCUGCCAGGACAGAAGUUCAAGGAACAGCAAAGUGAUGAAGACUGUUGGAAGAAGUAAACAACCCCAAAAGACCGCUACCACAUUUUUGUGUGCAUGAGGGAGAAACUUUCUAGAAGAACGAUGUAAUACAUAAGUAACCUUAUGAAUAUGCAUCUCCGUAACGAAUACGUAUGCUUAGUGACUAUGUAAGGACAGAUUGCUUAUCACUUGCACAGAGACAUGCUAGGAGGAGCAAUUCACCGUGUCUUCUGGUGCUGCAAUAAAGAAUACCUGCUUGUUAA